AUAGCAACGCAUAUAUAUUUAUUUUAGUGUUAUAUUUUUGAAUACAAUAGGAUUCAAUAAUUAAGAUGUUUCCAGAACUAUUUUAAUUUCUGUAAAAUUUAUAUGCGUUUAGUUUGAUUGAGUUACUUCUACUAUGGAUCCAGAAAAAUUAAAUUCCAUUUAUUCAAGAAUCAUAUGUUCUUCUGCCAUUACUCGACAAAAUUUUUCUCAUAAAUCUUUAAUACAACUGGUGAGAGAAGAAAACAAAGUGAAUAAUGAUGAAGACGAUACACAUUUUUUUGAAACUUUAAAGAGCAAAAUUAAUAUUAGUCCUUUAAAGUAAUAGCAUUGUACAUACAAACAAAGUAUUGAUAUUAUGUUUUUUACAAAAUAAUAUACAUCUUUUUCCUAACAACAGAUGUUUACAAGCUAAGUACGAAUUAAAAAAACUAUAUAGAGCAAAAAAAAGGAAAUAUAAAUUUAUUGAAGAAAGCAAGAAUGCAAUAAAACGCUUUAAAGAAGACAUGGAAAAUAAAAAUCAAAUAGAAGUAAAUACUAUUAAUUUUCAUUCCCAAAAAAAAGAGAUUUGUAUAGAUAAUUCAGCAUUUUCUAAUUACAACAAUGAUGUCCUCACAUCUGUUAAUACAAACGUAGAUAAUAAUAAGUCUAAUGCAUUAAAAAGAGAUUUCACUUUAAUCUUUCAAACAGAUAAAGUAUCUGCUGACGAUCAAAAUGAAUCUACAUUCAUCAAACCAAACGAUAUAUAAAUACCAUGCAGUAUAAUAAUGUAUUAUUAAAUGAAUAACGUGGACAUUUGUAAAUAUAUUAUUUAAACAAUUUAAUUCGAUUGAAU